rnacentral:misc_RNA from 1 species
CCGAGUUUACAACUCCCAAACCCCUGUGAACAUACCUUUAUGUUGCCUCGGCGGAUCAGCCCGCGCCCCGUAAAGCGGGACGGCCCGCCGCAGGAAACCCUAAACUCUGUUUUUAGUGGAACUUCUGAGUAUAAAAACAAAUAAAUCA